rfam:Camelus ferus unplaced genomic scaffold scaffold1970, whole genome shotgun sequence.
GAGGGUAUAGCUCAGUGGGAGAAUGCAUGCUUAGCAUGCAUGAGGUCCUAGGUUCAAUCCCCAGUACCUCCA